rnacentral:rRNA from 1 species
UACGAAGGGGGCUAGCGUUGCUCGGAAUCACUGGGCGUAAAGCGCACGUAGGCGGAUCUUUUAAGUCAGGGGUGAAAUCCCAAGGCUCAACCUUGGAACUGCCUUUGAUACUGGGGAUCUCGAGUCCGGAAGAGGUUGGUGGAACUGCGAGUGUAGAGGUGAAAUUCGUAGAUAUUCGCAAGAACACCAGUGGCGAAGGCGGCCAACUGGUCCGGUACUGACGCUGAGGUGCGAAAGCGUGGGGAGCAAACAGGG